CCACACAGACAUAUGGAAUAUUCAUAUCAGUAAAUGCAAAUAACUUCAGCGAUUCAAAUGCCACUUACUUCCGCUUUAAGAAAGCUAUGAUUUCAGAAUUCUCACCAAAGAAAGGGGUCGUAUCUGGGGGCACAACUGUAGUAAUAGAAGGAAACGAAUUAGAAUUCGAAGGACAAAAUCGAUAUAAUAUUACGUUUUGUAAUAAUGACACUUGUAUACAAUGCAGUGCUAAACAAAAAACCAUAAGUUCAAAAUCCAUCAACUGCAAAACUGGGAAAUCAGGAGAAGUACGUAACAUGACCAAGUUGCAGAUUGUGAUUGAUGACUUGACAGUUUUAACACUUAACAAAACGUUUCAAUAUUUACCUGAUCCAACGUUCGAACAUUCAAAUGAAUCAAGGAAUGUCAU